UACGUAGGGCGCAAGCGUUGUCCGGAAUUAUUGGGCGUAAAGAGCUCGUAGGCGGUUUGUCGCGUCUGCUGUGAAAACUCAGGGCUUAACCCUGAGCCUGCAGUGGGUACGGGCAGACUAGAGUGUGGUAGGGGAGAUCGGAAUUCCUGGUGUAGCGGUGGAAUGCGCAGAUAUCAGGAGGAACACCGGUGGCGAAGGCGGAUCUCUGGGCCAUAACUGACGCUGAGGAGCGAAAGCAUGGGGAGCGAACAGGA
rnacentral:rRNA from 1 species